rnacentral:lncRNA from 1 species
CGCCAUUGCCAACGGCUCUCCCGGCGCCAUCAACAUUGACUUCCAACAGUGAGUCCACAACGAGAUUUUUUAUAGAAAAAAAUUAUUUAUUUAUUUUUUAUAUUUUUAAUGAUUUUGUCGGACGUGUGCAGGGUGUGAGAGAGGACACGUCACGACGAGGUCAACAAAAAAAUUGGUUAUAGAUAGUCAAAGAUUUUGAACUUUAGAUUAUAGAAAUAUAUAUAUAUACAUACAUGUCUUUAUUUGUUUCAUUUCAAAUUCGAAUCUAUCCUUGUCGAGCCAGGUCUCGUAAGGAUGGAACUGAUACUCGCAAAUUUAUUGUUAGAGUGGUAGACAGAUAUCCAUUAUACGUAUCCAAAGUUUUAUUAUUUGAAAUAUUCAAAAUAUCACGUAUAAAAUAACCCUUCAUCUUUUAGCUCACAACUAUUCACGGACAUGAUAUUGUGCACUUAACCCAUCAUUGACUAAUAAGAUAUGAUACAAAGACUAACAAGGCCAAAGGAUGUCAU